AUUUAAAUAGUGUAAAUUAACACUUAACUUUUUCAUUGUUAGAAUCCUUCUGGUUUAAAUU
rnacentral:tRNA from 1 species